rnacentral:rRNA from 1 species
AUGUUACUCACUGAUUUACAGGGAUGGAAGAUUUGUUGCUUGAUGUACGUAGCUAGCAAACAAUUGGAUCAGGUUUCAGGAAGUGUUCAUGUACGUUUCUUUGUCGUAUAUUCACUGGAACAUUGUUAUCAAACUGUGUCAUGGAGGUUCAUUAGUACACAUGUCCCAGUCAUUAAUUAUUCAGUAAAUGAGUGCUUAUGUCCUCAACUAUCGGGAGGAAUAGUUGUUGGAUAUCAAAACUUACAUUUUAACAAGCACUUCUUGCGUUAUUUGUUUGUUCUUGAUUUUUAUUUAAUCCAAAAGCCCUUGAUUUGA